rnacentral:rRNA from 1 species
CAGUAGCCACGGGAAUACGUAGGGGGCAAGCGUUAUCCGGAAUAACUGGGCGUAAAGGGUGCGUAGGUGGUUCAACAAGUUAGUGGUGAAAGGCAUAGGCUCAACCAAUGUAAGCCAUUAAAACUGUUUAACUUGAGUGCAGGAGAGGAAAGUGGAAUUCCUAGUGUAGCGGUGAAAUGCGUAGAUAUUGGGAGGAACACCGGAGGCGAAGGCGGCUUACUGGACGACAACUGACGUUGAGGCUCGAAGGCGUGGGUAGCAAACAGGAUUAGAGACCCCCGUAGUCCCUGUCUCUUAUACA